CCUACGGGUGGCAGCAGUGAGGAAUAUUGGUCAAUGGCCGGAAGGCUGAACCAGCCAAGCCGCGUGAAGGACGAAGGUGCCAAGCAUUGUAAACUUCUUUUGUCAAGGGACAAAAUCAGGCUCGAGAGCCUGACCGAGGGUACUUGAAGAAAAAGCAUCGGCUAACUCCGUGCCAGCAGCCGCGGUAAUACGGAGGAUGCGAGCGUUAUCCGGAUUUAUUGGGUUUAAAGGGUGCGUAGGCGGGCUGUUAAGUCAGCGGUAAAAUCCCGGGGCGCAACCCUGUCGAGCCGUUGGAACUGGCAGUCUUGAGUGGGCGAGAAGUAUGCGGAAUGCGUGGUGUAGCGGUGAAAUGCAUAGAUAUCACGCAGAACGCCGAUUGCGAAGGCAGCAUACCGGCGCCCGACUGACGCUGAGGCACGAAAGUGUGGGGAUCGAACAGGAUUAGAUACCCCAGUAGUC
rnacentral:rRNA from 1 species